UACAGAGGGCGCGAGCGUUGUCCGGAAUCACUGGGCGUAAAGGGCGCGUAGGUGGCCACCAUAAGGCCGCGGUGAAAGUUCGGGGCUCAACCCUGAAUCGGCCGCGGCGACUGUGGGGCUUGGGCACCGUAGAGGCAGAUGGAAUUCCGGGUGUAGCGGUGGAAUGCGUAGAUAUCUGGAGGAACACCGGUGGCGAAGGCGCCCACCUGGCCUGCUACUGACGCUGAAGCUCGAAAGCUAGGGGAGCAAACGGG
rnacentral:rRNA from 1 species